UAUGCCACGCUUCUAGGCAAAGUCUUUGACCAUAGCGAUUGUAGGCAAAGUCUUCUAGGCAAAGUCUUCUAGGCAAAGUCUUUGAUCAAAGACUUUGCCUAGAAGCGUGGCAUAUAAAUAUG